AAUUAAUAAUUUGAUUUUGGUUAAAUUAUUUUAACUAUAAAUAAUAUUUAACAUGUUAUUUCCAUAAAUUUUAUAAAAAUCAGUAAUUAAUAUUAUUUGUUAUAAUGAUAAAUAUUUAUAAAGAUAUAUUUUGUAAGAUUGGAUAAAUUUGUGCCAGCAUCCGCGGUUACACUUAUGAUCAAAGUUAAAAUUUUUAGUAAAUAUAUAAUUAAAACAUAAACAUCAUAUUUUAUUUUAGGUAAAAUUAAUAAUAUUAUUUUAUUUUAUAAGUUAUAUGAAAUUUAAUUAUUUACACUAGGAUUAGAUACCCUAUUAUAUUAAGUAAUUUAAAUAAAAUACUAAGAGAUUAAUAGUUAUGAUCUUGAAAUUUAAAGAAUUUGGCGGUAAAUUAAUUUAUCUAGAGGAAUUUGUUAUUUAAUAGAUAUUACACUUUUAAUCUUACCUUAUUUAUAUGGUUUGUAUACCGCCGUUUAGAAUAUUUUUAGUGAAUUAAUUUUCUUUAAAUUAAAGUUAUUAAAUCAGGUCAAGGUGCAGCUUUUAGUAGGGUCUUAAAUGAAUUACAUUUUUUUGAAAAAAUGAACGGAUAUAUUUUCUGUAAGGAUUAUUUGAAGGAGGAUUUAGAAGUAAUUUUAUAAUUAGUAAGUUUAUUUGAAUAUUUAAUACUAAUUUAUGUACAUAUUGCCCGUCGCUCUCGUUGAUAAAAUGAGAUAAGUCGUAACAUAGUAGGGGUACUGGAAAGUGUUCCUUGCUUG
rnacentral:ncRNA from 1 species